GGGGGGCAACAUGUGCCCCAUGGUGUCCUGCAUCCCACAGCAUCCCACAGCUCCACAGACCCCACAGCAUCCCAUGGUACCACGGACCCCACAGCAUCCCACAGCAUCCCAUGGUACCACAGACCCCACAGCAUCCCACAUCCCCCAGCACCGCCUGCCCCAGCACCACGUAUCCCACAAGGCACAGCACCAUCUGCCCCACGCCAUCCCCCAUCCCUGUCUGUCCCACGGCAUCCUGCAGCCCCCUUCAUCCCACUGCAUCCCCCUGCAUCCCCCUAUAUCCCACUGCCUUCUGCACGCCACAGCAUCCUGUAUCCCAUUGCCAAGGAUCCCGCAGCAUCCCAUAUCCCUUGCCACCACAGCAUCCUGCAUCCCAGUACCAUGGACUCCCCAGCAUCCCGCAUCCCAGUGCUGACCUGCCCCACAGCACCACGUAUCCCACAAGGCACAGCACCGUCUGUCCCACGCCAUCCCCCAUCCCUGUCUGUCCCACAGCAUCCUGCAGCCCCCUACAUCCCACCGCAUCCCGCAUCCCACCGCCUUCUGCACGCCACAGCAUCCUGCAUCCCACAGCCUCCCGCAUCCUGUGGCACUGUGGAUCCCGCAGCAUCCUGUAUCCCAUUGCCAAGGAUCCCGCAACAUCCCACAUCCCAGUGCCAUGGACCCCCCAGCAUCCCGCAUCCCAGUGCUGUGGAUCCCACAGCAUCCCAUAUCCCAGUGCCAUGGACACCUCAGCAUCCUGUAUCCCACAAUUCCAUGGACCCCUUAAAAUCCUGCAUCCCAGUGCCAUGUAUCCCCCAGCAUCCCAUAUCCCAGUGCCAUGGACCCCUCAGCAUCAUGCAUCCCAGCGCUAAGGAUCCGGCAGCAUCCCACAUCCCACAGUGCCAUGGACCCCCUAGAAUCCUGCAUCCCAGUGCCCAGGACGCCCUCAGCAUCCCCAUAUCCCACUGCCAUGGACACCUCAACAUCCUGUAUCCCAGUGCCAAGGAUCCCACAGCAUCCCGUAUCCCUUGCCACCAUGGACCCCGCAGCGUCCCGCAUCCCAGUUCCAUGGACCCCCUAGAAUCCUGCAUCCCAGUGCCCAGGACGCCCUCAGCAUCCCCAUAUCCCACUGCCAUGGACACCUCAACAUCCUGUAUCCCAGUGCCAAGGAUCCGGCAGCGUCCCACAUCCCACAGUGCCAUGGAUCCCCUAGAAUCUUGCAUCCCAGUACCACGGACACCCCAGCAUCCCAUAUCCCAGUGCCGUGGACACCCCAGCAUCCUGUAUCACAGUGCUGUGGACCCCACAGCAUCCCAUAUCCCAGUACCAUGGAUCCCGCAGCAUCCUGUAUCCCAGUAUCAUGGACCCCCCAGCAUCCCGCAUCCCAGUGCUGUGGAUCCCACAGCAUCCUGUAUCCCAGUGCCAAGGAUCCCGCAGCAUCCUGCAUCCCACAGUGCCAUGGACCCCCUAGAAUCCUGCAUCCCAGUGCCAUGGACACCCCAGCAUCCCAUAUCCCAGUGCCGUGGACACCCCAGCAUCCUGUAUCACAGUGCUGUGGACCCCACAGCAUCCCAUAUCCCAGUACCAUGUACCCCCCAGCAUCCUGUAUCCCUUGCCAUCAUGGACCCCCCAGCAUCCCAGUGCCGUGGACCCCCCAGUAUCCUGCAUCCCAGUACCAUGUACCCCUCAGCAUCCCAUAUCCCAGUGCCAUGGACCCCCCAGCAUCCUGUAUCCCAGUGCCAAGAAUCUGGCAGCAUCCCACAUCCCACAGUGCCAUGGACCCCCCAAUAUCCUGCAUCCCAGUGCCCAGGACCCCCCCAGCACCCCAUAUCCCAGUUCCCAGUACCAUGGACCCCCCCAGAAUCCCGCAUCCCAGUGCCCA
rnacentral:lncRNA from 1 species